rnacentral:rRNA from 1 species
GACGAACGCUGGCGGCGUGCCUAAUACAUGCAAGUCGAGCGGACCAAAGGGAGCUUGCUCCUGGAGGUUAGCGGCGAACGGGUGAGUAACACGUGGGCAACCUGCCUGUAAGACUGGGAUAACAUCGAGAAAUCGGUGCUAAUACCGGAUAAUAAAAAGAACUGCAUGGUUCUUUUUUGAAAGAUGGUUUCGGCUAUCACUUACAGAUGGGCCCGCGGCGCAUUAGCUAGUUGGUGGGGUAACGGCUCACCAAGGCGACGAUGCGUAGCCGACCUGAGAGGGUGAUCGGCCACACUGGGACUGAGACACGGCCCAGACUCCUACGGGAGGCAGCAGUAGGGAAUCUUCCGCAAUGGACGAAAGUCUGACGGAGCAACGCCGCGUGAGUGAUGAAGGUUUUCGGAUCGUAAAACUCUGUUGUUAGGGAAGAACAAGUGCCGUUCGAAAGGGCGGCACCUUGACGGUACCUAACGAGAAAGCCACGGCUAACUACGUGCCAGCAGCCGCGGUAAAGU